rnacentral:miRNA from 1 species
CUGAGCCCUGUCCUCCCGCA